rnacentral:rRNA from 1 species
UAGGGAAUCUUCCGCAAUGGACGAAAGUCUGACGGAGCAACGCCGCGUGAGUGAUGAAGGUUUUCGGAUCGUAAAACUCUGUUAUUAGGGAAGAACAAAUGCGUAAGUAACUGUGCGCAUCUUGACGGUACCUAAUCAGAAAGCCACGGCUAACUACGUGCCAGCAGCCGCGGUAAUACGUAGGUGGCAAGCGUUAUCAGGAAUUAUUGGGCGUAAAGCGCGCGUAGGCGGUUUCUUAAGUCUGAUGUGAAAGCCCACGGCUCAACCGUGGAGGGUCAUUGGAAACUGGGAAACUUGAGUACAGAAGAGGAAAGUGGAAUUCCAUGUGUAGCGGUGAAAUGCGCAGAGAUAUGGAGGAACACCAGUGGCGAAGGCGACUUUCUGGUCUGUAACUGACGCUGAUGUGCGAAAGCGUGGGGAUCAAACA